GCGCCCGCCCGCCCCGCAGCCCGCGCCCGCCCGCCCGCCCGCCGCAAGUUUGUUCCCCGCCGCCGCGGCCUGCGCGGAGAGAGGAUCGCGCGCGGGGAGGCGCCGAGGGGCAGCAAGAGUGGAGAAAGUGCGGAAAGAAGCAACAGCCGCUCCACCCGCGGGCGGAAAAGUGGCCGGGCGCGGCGGCGGGAUGCGGCGCGGCUAACGGUCCCCGGCGGCCGCCGGAGCCGCUAGGCGCAGAGGCAGGCUAGCACCUGCGCAGUGGGAGAGAGUCCUUGUCACUGGUGACUCGUGGCAGUAAGCACAAGGAAGAGCAAAGGGAUAGUAUGUCUCGCAAGUGUAGGGCAGGAGCUACAGGAACCAUCCAGGUGCACUGGCUUUGCCUCUGCAUCUUUCUGUGCCUCUGUCUCAUUCUGUUUCCAGCUGUGCAUGGAUGUGGAUGGCCCAGAAAGCAUGGAAAGGGAAUAAACUGGACUGAACUUCCUGCCCACCCUCUGUGACUAACAAGGGCCAUUGUGAUCUCUGCCCAAAGUGGCGUGGACUCCUCCAGGGACCAUCUGUCCCUCCCAGCAGCUCCAGAGCCACACUGCCUUGGAAGACCCGACAGACAGAUGUCUCCUCCUUGA
ensembl:processed_transcript uncharacterized LOC110333015